GGUCGGUUCGGCCGGAUUUUACACAAGUGUUGCAUGGCUGUCGUCAGCUCGUGUCGUGAGAUGUUGGGUUAAGUCCCGCAACGAGCGCAACCCUCAUCCUUAGUUGCCAUCAGGUAAUGCUGAGUACUUUAAGGAAACUGCCAGUGAUAAGCUGGAGGAAGGUGGGGAUGAUGUCAAGUCAUCAUGGCCUUUAUGGAGUGGGCUACACACGUGCUACAAUGGUGUCUACAAUGGGCUGCAAGGUGCGCAAGCCUAAGCUAAUCCCUAAAAGACAUCUCAGUUCGGAUUGUACUCUGCAACUCGAGUACAUGAAGUUGGAAUCGCUAGUAAUCGUGGAUCAGCAUGCCACGGUGAAUACGUUCUCGGGUCUUGUACACACUGCCCGUCACGCCAUGG
rnacentral:rRNA from 4 species